GAUGAACGCUAGCUACAGGCUUAACACAUGCAAGUCGAGGGGCAUCACAGUGUAGCAAUACACGGGUGGCGACCGGCGCACGGGUGCGUAACACGUAUCCAAUCUGCCCGUUACUCGGGGGAUAGCCUUCUGAAAGGGAAGAUUAAUACCCGAUGGCAUGUAUUUCCGGCAUCGGAGAUACAUUAAAGAUUUAUCGGUAACGGAUGAGGAUGCGUACGAUUAGCUUGUUGGCGGGGUAACGGCCCACCAAGGCGACGAUCGUUAGGGGUUCUGAGAGGAAGGUCCCCCACACUGGAACUGAGACACGGUCCAGACUCCUACGGGAGGCAGCAGUGAGGAAUAUUGGUCAAUGGUCGGAAGACUGAACCAGCCAAGUAGCGUGAAGGAUGACUGCCCUACGGGUUGUAAACUUCUUUUGUUUGGGAAUAAAAGACGCUACGUGUAGCGUUCUGCAUGUACCUUACGAAUAAGCAUCGGCUAAUUCCGUG
rnacentral:rRNA from 1 species